rnacentral:rRNA from 1 species
GAUGAACGCUGGCGGCGUGCUUAACACAUGCAAGUCGAACGGUGAAGCAGAGCUUGCUCUGUGGAUCAGUGGCGAACGGGUGAGUAACACGUGAGCAACCUGCCCCGGACUCUGGGAUAAGCGCUGGAAACGGCGUCUAAUACCGGAUACGAGCUGCGAAGGCAUCUUCAGCAGCUGGAAAGAAUUUCGGUCCGGGAUGGGCUCGCGGCCUAUCAGCUUGUUGGUGAGGUAAUGGCUCACCAAGGCGUGGACGGGUAGCCGGCCUGAGAGGGUGACCGGCCACACUGGGACUGGGACACGGCCCAGACUCCUACGGGGGGCAGCAGUGGGGAAUAUUGCACAAUGGGCGAAAGCCUGAUGCAGCAACGCCGCGUGGGGGACGACGGCCUUCGGGUUGUAAACCUCUUUUAGCAGGGAAGAAGCGAAAGUGACGGUACCUGCAGAAAAAGCGCCGGCUAACUACGUGCCAGCAGCCGCGGUAACAC